AGAGAGCUGGAGUUGGUUGGCUGUGCUGUGCAGAAGGAGUCAGUGCUGUGAGGAGAUGACCAUAAGAAAUCGCCAAGAAGGUAUGGCACUUUUGUAAUAAGAUGACAACAUUACCUCAUAUCCUUACCACUGCACUGAAAUGCCUGAAAGGUCUGCAUGGACUGUCCUGAAAUGCCAACUGGCUGUCAAUGUCAUCCAUCAAGGGUCGAGCAAGGACUCACUGUGACAGACACCCUGCCUUGGAGAGAGCCUGGGCUGGCUGUACUGAUCCCAGAGUGGUGCAACCUGGCACAGCAGCAAAAUGCAUCCAUGUCAAUGCUCCUGAUAGCAGCAGUCAAAGGAACACAGGCUGGGAACUCAUGGCUCUGUCCCUGCCUCUUGGUGACCGUAGGGAAAUUCUUUAUUGCCUCUCUGCUUCAGAGUCCUCUCCCCUACCUAGAGAAGAAAUCCAGGGUACCCCCAGCUGGGUAGUUGCAACAAAGAUAGAGCAGCACAUCACUUGGGGCCUGUGAUUUAAAACUGGAUUUUCUUAUUCUGUACUAAUUUCACUGACUAUCACAAAUCUCUAUUUUUUUCAGUCAUGCAUUUAAAAAUCAGAAUAAGCAGACUGGGGCUGGAAGGAUUAAUAUGUUUCCUUUGAUACUAGAAUUCUAGUAUUUUGGACUGUGCACUGCAUUUCUUUUCUCCAAGACUGCAUAUAAAAUGCUAUUUGCUGACUUCUCAUCUAUAUAAUGAAAGCUAGCUCUAUUAUCAGAAGGAUUCUUAUGAGGCUUAGCUGCUCUCCUACAUACUCACUGUUUUACACUCAUUAAAAAUUAUCUUCUAACUUCCCCUUCUAGAAUAAAUAUAUAGAAAAGUUAGAGAAAUUAUCCUAUUGUCAAUUUAUAGAGAGAAAUAUAGGGAAAAUAGGAUACAUUUGAUUUUGUUUUUUCAAAAUCAGUAGUUCUCUAAAGUGCUAUAGAUUUAGGUCCCAGUGAUUGCUGAGAUUGUUAGCCCAGCAGCUCUGGUGACUUGGACAAUUAUUUUCCAUACAGUAAGAGGAAACUCUCCAAAUAGAAAAAUUUGCUACUAUGUAAAUGUGAAUCUCUGGGUUGAUUAGAAGAAAUGAGAAAAAACUUCUCCUGAUGCUCUUUCAUAAUUUGUUUCAUAGUUUGUUGAAGCUGCCUGUAGCCUUUCUGAACUCUGCCUGUGCCACUUUGCUGAAGGGUAGCUGCUUUGUUUUGUUUGAUAAGACUCCUGUAAGUGCCAAAGUAGAAGAAGCUUUCUGAUGUGAGCAUAAUUCAAUUUCUGUAUGGAAAGUGCCUUGACUCUUUUUAAACUCUGCUUCCUCAGACUGAAAUUUCAGGUAGUGGUGGAAAAUUCAGCCUCAUAUGCUCAGUCUUGUCCUCUUACCAGAUUUGCCUGAUAAUGUACUGGCCUGUGAGGAAAAAUGGAAGGAACUGGAUUUAGCCUAAAAAUCUGAGAGAUAUAGAAAGCUUUAAAUAUUUUAAAAGUUUCUGAAAAGAGGAAGAGGAACAAACUGUUCUUCAAGUUGUGAGGAAAAAUAUAAUAUGCUUAAACUGGAACAAAAGCAGAUUUAGGAGGAGCUUUGUAGAAAGAAUGCUCCAGUGGCAAAGAUAAUUAAGGACUAGAAUAGAUUGCAUAUAGAAGCUGGGGAAGCUGGAGGUUUUUAGAGUGGUUACAGAACCAUCUGUCAGAAAUGCUUUAGUUGAUUUGGGGCAGGUGGAUGCACCAGCUGAUCUAUUUGAGUCUUUCUUACUCCUCCCUAGCAUUUAGCAGUAAGAGCCUAAAGAAACGGGAAAGACUACACGAAGCAUCCACAGCAGGGUGACUUUCAUAUUCCAGUGUGGAAAAUACAGCUGUAAUAACAAAUUUUGUCACAUGCCAUGCAGCUCUAGUCAAGCAGGUCAAGUAUUCUCUGCCACCUUCCCACCAGGCACUUGCUGAUUGCUGGAUCAUUUGUUUUGAAGUAAGAAGGGAUUUUUUAGAGUAUUUGUUGGAGAGAUGUGCGUGGGUUUGAUUUACAAUAAAGCAUUGUCAGUUUGAAAAGGAUUGCCAUUAUGCACAUUUGUAUUAAGUUGAAGAAUUAGGAUAGAAAUUCUCAUCUCAGAUCAUAUGGUUUUCUUUGCUUUAUAUUUUGUGGCCUUUGAGUAAUAAAAUUACUGGAUGGCAUAGAGGGUUAAUCUAGUUUGCUCUCCCUAUAAUCAGCAAACUAUUUUUAACUGGAGGUGAAAGGGUUAGUUAGUCUGUAAUAUCUGCAUAAGGCACACAGUGUUAAUUUAAGAAGUUAAUUUAUUUCAUUUCACUAGAAAAUAUUCUGCCUCCAGGAAUUAUCCUUUCUGUGAAAAAUGUUCUGACUGUUUUCUAUUGUCUAUUAACAUGAUGCUUUGAGGAUAUUUUCUAUAGGAAUGCUCAGACUUAGAGCUGUGCCCACCUGCACUGACAUAACUAGAAAAGCAAAUUGCAUUAUCCUCUCAGCAAGCAUUUUAGUUCUUUAUUGUUUUAACCUGAGUUCUUGUAAAUCAGCCAGAGCAAUCAGUUUUAAUGACUCCUCCAAGAGAAAAACAAACAACAAUGGAAAAGCUCUGCUUUUUAAGUUUUAUCCAGAAAAAAAAAACAGAAGAAGCACUGCAUUUCCCCCUCAUCAAAAUCCCAGAUAAAUAACUAGUUCUCAUUGCUUGCCCUGUGCUGGACGUUGUGAGAUUCCUGAGCAUAUGAACAGUAAAGUUGAGAAGUUGUUUUUCAAUGUUUGCUGUGAGCAGCAGUAAUUCAGCAAUCUGCUCAAAGGACUGCACCAACAGUAGGGAACAACAUGGCCAGGGUCCAAAAUAAUCUGAUUCUGGUCAUUACAUAUUUAGUGAUCCCCAAAUAAGUUUGCAUCAA